rnacentral:antisense_RNA from 1 species
GCCAGUGGGCAGUUUGCACCCCCUGAUUCUAUUCUGAGCCGGCCAAAGUUCUGAGAUAGGAUCAGGGGGUUUUACUU